rnacentral:lncRNA from 1 species
UUGAAGAUAUGUGACUGGUUAUUUGAAGUUACUUUGUGCUAAUCUGCUUGCCUGGUGCCGUAUUGUUCAUGUAUUUGACGGUUGUUCUUAUAUAUCAUCUCUACAAUCACAAAAACAAAAAUAAACCAUCUUACUGUAGUAACUUAUAACAAACGGAAGGUGUGAUGGAUACUAAUUUUUUGUCGACCUCCAGUCUUGUUGCUUUGUAUUGUAAAGUCUUCAACUCAUCAUUCUCAACGAAAUUACUAUUGGAACUCC